rnacentral:rRNA from 1 species
AGGUUCUUGUACGGAAUAUACCACCAGAUCCUGAUGAAUCAGUUAGCAAGCUUGUGGAACAUUUCUUCCUUGUCAAUCAUCCUGAUCAUUAUCUGAAACAUCAGGUAAUCACUAAAUUUUGGAACAUCUCCCAUUUGAAGAAUCAUCUGCAAAUUCAAAUGUAAGGAAGUGUGCAGUGCAAGCAAUUAUCAGGUGUUGGCUGCCCAGGAAGAAGGAAAGGUCAGUCCAGACAUGACAUUUAACUCUAAUAAUGGAGGUAUGUAGUGCCUACUGCUCCCUUGUCCCUUGCUACCGUCUGGGGAUGCUCGGCUCGCAGUCCCUGCUCUCAUUUUCCUCCAGCCUCUGGUAACCCUCCUCCUCACCCGCCUCGCCGAAGCGGGAUUCACAGGUUAGUUUAGUUUUGGAGGGAUUUCCUGUGGUUGUGCGUGAAUCCAGUGUUCACUGGGCUUGUAUGUUUCAUCCCUAAUAUGCUAGCUCCUGCCUAAACACGCAUUAGAGAAUCUCAUGUAUGUAACAGAAGAUACACAAAUGUGGUUUUCCAGGGAGCAUCAGGUACAACUUAUGUGGGGAUGAACCAUCAGCUAAAGGGAGUGAUAGGAAAAUAUUUUGUUGAAUGCAAUGGGAAGGCGAAAAACGACACGCCUUGGCGAAGCAACUCUAAGAUUCGGUAAGGCUAAUCAAGUCUGCAAUCAAAUCCAAGAGCAGGGGCAGAGAAAACCGUUAAAAUACUUUUUAGCUAUUGAUUGAAGUGACUGGUAAUCAGUAGCAGGAGCAACAGUUGUAGUAAGAACCUACCUAGGCAUAUUUUCUCUCUUUCCUAUCACAUGGCACAUUGAAUAACUUUAUAGUACAAAUACAUUCACAUAUGUUAUUUUAAAUUAUCAUGUCAUGGAGGUUCUCGUUAUUUCGAAUCUUUGGUUGGAACCUUCAUUUUGUGUUAUUAAAUGCACAUGGUAUUCAGUUAUCGCCAUUAUGGUGAGAAGACUUUGAUCUUGAUAUAUCAGAUUUAAGCCUCUUACACCAUAGGAGGUCCUCCUUUUGGUGAUAUUCACUCAUAUGUCAUUUUAAAUUAUCAUGUCAUGGAGGUGCUGGGUAUUUCGAAUCUUUGGUUGGAACCUUCAUUUUGCGUUAAAUUCACAUGGUAUUCAGUUAUCUCCAUUAUUGCCAGUAGCAACGCACAAGCACUUUCUAUUAAAUGCACAUGCUAUUUUCUUUUGUAUCAUGUCAUUUUGUGGUCAUUAACAAUCAGAUGGAUGAAACUGAUCUUGUUUUGUGCAUCAUGGAUUUUCCUCAACUGAAUGAGUAGAAACAUAAGUGUGCAAUGUAGUAGCCCCUCUAUUCCAUUGUUAUAAAUAUUAUAGUUUUUCAAUCUGCUGACCUGAUCGUAACAGCUGUUUAAAAGGAAGUGAUCACAUCACUAUUUAGAUUUUACUUUUUUUUUGUAUGCUUAAACAUAAGAUUAGUUUGUCCCCUUUCUUUUUACCCUUCAUGCUAACAUAAUAAAUACAUAUUUGAACUGAAUUGGUUGUAUUACAUAUGCCACGAAGGAUGUCGCCGCUUGAAGCUCGAUUUCCAUCAGCCCCUCUUUUAAUUCACUUGCAUUGUUUCAGCUUUGCAUUGUACUUCUUUGACGAAUUACCUCAUCCAAUCGGCUUUAAUUCGGAGCGUCAGUCUUACUAAUUAUCAUUGCCUUAACUUUCCAUAUGAACCUCUUACAGGAAACAAGGACUCCUAUUUGUCUGUAGUACUGCCCAUGAGACUCAACCUUGUUUUACCUUAAUUAUCAUGGUGUGCCUUUUUUUAUAAUAGCUCACCAUUUUGUUAGUGGCAAUAAAAUGCAUCUUUAGGCACACCUAUAGCGCACAUGUGAUGAUGUACAGAUGAAAGAAAGAUCUUAGAAGCUGAGAAGCCGAGAGCUGGAGGAACAAGGAGAAGCUAAAAGGACAGAAGAAGUCAGAGCAUGUGGAGCUGUUGGGCAAGCAGAGUUCUAUCUGGGUAUUUAGGCAAGAACAAAUCAGACGGAACAAGUUUGCUACGGGUGGGUGUGCAUCAAGCUGCUUCGUUGCCGGCGGCGAGUAAUCUCACACAUGUUUAUGGCGCAUAUGUACCAGAAAAUUCAAAAGGUUCUGAUCAUACGUGCGAGGGGAAUCAGGUAGGGCUUGAUGCGCCUUCCAUACGAAAUGUUGAUGAGAAUUACCCAAGUAGUCCAGAUGCAUGUCAGGUUGUUCGCUUGGUCUGCGCCAACGAGCAUCUCCUACAAGUCAUCAUCUCUCUCUUUGUCGGCUCCAUGUUGUAGCCUGCUAGGAGUCCUACCUUGCCAUGGAGCAUGUCCUUUGUCAUGGGUCGUACUGAGGACGCAGUGACAUGCAAGGCGAGGGAAAUUGAAGCCAAAACAUGCAGGACGGCCAGGAGUGUGCCAUUUUUUCUAUGACAGGGGGUGGUUCUUCAAUCUUCAGGGAAUCAAGCGGUAGCAUCAGAUGCUGACAUGCAUGGAAGCAGUAAACAUUGAUAAGAGUACAAGCAUUGGAGGAGUACUCACCACAUUCGAGGAAGUCGUCAUCAUGGUGGUGGUGGUCGAGGAAGUCGUAGGUGCUGGUGGCAUCAUCACGGAGCAGGCACCAUCUUCUCCUCGACUUAAAAUGUGGUCAAUCAUGGGGAGCUCGACUUCGCGGCUGACCUGGGCGCAGGUGACGGGGCACUCGUAGCGGCGGAGGAGUACCAGCAGCGUCGGAGAUGGCAGCGUCCAACACGGCGCUCCUCCUUGCAGGUCGAUGGCGGCGAGGAGCGCUAGCAUCCGUCGCCGCCUUCCUCGAGCAGGACAAGGCCACCGUGCCCGCGCUUCUCACGCUCCUACUCGACCUCGCUAAAAUAUCCAACUUUGGCUCGACCGUGGCGCAGAGGAUGCGGGCGAGAGGGAGAGGCGAUGCAGACGAGAAGGCCCGGCGGCGACGCCUGAGGAGAAGGGCGGCGAUGCGGUUGAGUCGCCGACGCGAGUGAGGG